rnacentral:lncRNA from 1 species
AGACCUAUGAAGGUCGAAGGGGAAGAAAAGCUGUAUCGAUUGUUGAGAUCUGGCGACUUGUUUAAAUUUCAUCAGCCUCACUUCUAUGAACUCUCAGGCCUCACGUGUACCAGCUCUCUGCUCUCCUUUGCCUUGGGACGUUCCAUCCCUGGAAGUUUCCCUGCCCACAUCUUUGUAGAGAGUCCAUUCUCCAAGCUUCAGUGUGUCAUCUGUGAGGACCGUGACCCACCUGGUACAUCGCCUCAGGGCAUUCAUUUCAGGCUCCUUCUAAAUGGCCAAGGAUCUUGGAAGCAGAGGGAUCUGCAGAAGUGCUUGCAACACUUUCAGCCUUAACCAGCAUCAGAGACAAAAAUCCUUUCUGGAAUGAGGCACCCUUGGAAAUGCAAUGCUACAUCUCAAUGGGAUUUUCCAGUACAAAGAUUCUUUUCAAAUAACAUAAUUGUGGAUACACACCACUCCUACAGUGGUAAACCUCAGGUUCUCCUCCUGCCUUUUGCUAAGUAUAUGUCUUGAUGACAAGCCUUCUGCUGAUGAGCUGUGUUUCUGGACCGAUCAUGGUAGAAGUCAAUUAACGUGUCCCUCACUUGGGGUUUCUCAAGGCUGCACUGAUGAGGAAACUGAAACAGAAAAUCCAGAGUAAAUUCCACCAGGCCACACAGCAAGGUCUGAUAGAGCCAGGAGAGACUUUAUGAAAUCCAGACUCUCACACUAAUGCUCUAUCAGCUAGACCUCCAUGUGAGUCUCCCCAAUGUAGGUAGGAAGUGCUUUCCCUAAAAUGCUCAUAAAGCAAAUCAGAGCAAUGCUGCAUUCCAUGUGAUUUCUAAUUUGAAAUGCAAACAAUUGCCAAUUUGUUUGACUUGUAUUUAUAAUUAUUUCCUUGUGAAUUACUCAUCACUAAAUGCUUUAUAAAUAUUUUCUCUUUUUUUCCUCAAUGUCUAUGGAAUGAUCACAGCAUAGAAAAUGUUGGCUUUCAAGGAUUUAUUAAUAUCUCCUUUUGAAAUAACAUGUAUUUGUAAGACAGAAUAAAAUCACUUUAAAGAAACAAA